rnacentral:lncRNA from 1 species
AGUGGUGCUGCUGGAAAAUCAUGUGCCUCAUUUCACAGAUUUCUCUGCAGAGCGAGCGCUCGCCUCAGAAGGGCAACGCGUCGGGGAUUGAAAUUAGUAAAUACUCUGAUUGCUGAGAGGCUGUCACAGCACGCCUGAACCAGCUGCCAGCUCUCCAUCGAGUCCUGCCCGUCGGCACCGUGAGUCGGUGCCCCUCGGAAAGCAGGAGACCUCAGCACGGCUCACACGGCCGCGGAUGUCUGUGCUGCCGGGGGAGGACUGGCAAAGAAGCCGCAGCACAGCGGCCAUUCACCCGGAGGGGAUCUCAGGCUGCAGCGCUGCAGAGCUCUGCUGGGACAGAGAGGAGAGAGCCGCGCUGUGCCCCGGCACUCUGCCCUCACCUGUGUGCCCGGGGCACUGCCGUAACGUGUCUGCAGGCAGGGAGAAGCGUGCGUGCACAGAGCGGCGGCGGGGCUGGGCUUGGCCGUGCUGAAGGCAGAGCGAGGGCUGGAUUCCUGCGAAGGGAAACAGAUUGGGAAACAGAAGAUUGCCCAACGCGCCCACCGGUGACUCACGGAGCUCCAACCCGCACGCUCACUCCCAGCGGCACGCGCUGCUCGAGGCGCACUGCUGCCCAUGUCCGGCAGCCGGGCUCACACCUCGCCCUACACACGUGGCCCCGCGCAGUGCCCGGCCGUGGGCAGGCUCGGGGGGAGCAGAGCUCUGGGUACGGUCGACGGGAGCGGGACAAAGCAGUGCCAGCGCCGUGCCGAGCACUGCCCUAAGACACCAUCAGUGCCGCCGCGUUUAUCGCCAAGUGCUGGAGGCCAAUGUCCUGUUUGCCAACCGCCCGCCCCCGUCUGCCGCGGCCCCUCCAAAGGACAACAACCGGGUCCUGAGUGCUGGGUGCGAAGAUGGAAGCAAAUGGUCCCCGAUGCACGCUAAGUGUGCUGCCGCAGGGCACAAAGCCCGGUGCUGACCUCAGCAAGGCACCCCCCCGGAACAGGUCGGCUCGCUGCAGCGUUCUCCCCUGGCACCGCACGCUAUUAAUGCAAUGAGGCACACUGCUCCUUUUGCCUGAAGGCCCGAAAGACAGCAGUACUGGAGGGGAAGGUAGGAAGAGGGAACAUCCACUGCUGACCCACUCCUGGACCAGAGCUGCGCUUUUAGAAGAGAAAACCGUGCUGUGGGCAGAUGGGGCUGUCAGCAGCAGUGCUCAAAGAGGGGGGGGUGGGGUGUGCAGCUCCAGUGGGGCCCCAGGUUGGGAGCCCCAGAUGUGCCCCAGCCCAGUGCCUGCAGCAGUGCAGCCUGCGGCUCGUGGGGCUCAGUCCGUGUGCCCAGAGCUGCCAUCUCCGCCCCACUGCCGCCGCAGGAGCUCAGCCCUGGGGAGCCCACGGCCGCCGUGUGCUGGGGAAGGAAAGCGAAACCCAGGGGCAC